CUUUUCUUCCCUCCUCUCCUCUCUCAGCGACGGAACUCUUGCCUUACACUCUUCUUCUUCAUUAACAGAUAAGAAAAUCUUAGAUCAUUUUCUUAAUGUACAGCAAAUCAUGACGACACAGAUGCGAGAAAAAAAAACGAAGUCUUGCUGAUGGAGCAUUCUUUGCUGAACAUGGUUACUCUGGUGUUGGAGUUAGGGUUACAGCUCAGGGCUUGUUUUUUCUUAUUGGAAUCACUGGUGUUGAAGUUAGGGUUGCCAACCAGAGGUGAUGCUCAAGUUCUUGAAAGGAUUUGAGCCAAAGCUCGGGAUCAAUUGUUCUUAAGAAACUGAACCACUAGGUACUGCUGGACCUUUAUCUUUGACUGAUGACUCUUCUGAGCCACUCUUUGUCCUCUAUAGCGAUAGUGAUGUUAUUAGUGGAUACCGACUCAAGGAAUUUCUUGAAUUCCAUGGCUCCAAUUGUUGUUACCUAGAUUAUGAUUUGAGGAAAUCCAUAGUUUAUUAGAUGUUUUUGAUUGCCUUUUGUCGGUUUAGAUCUGAUUAUUGUUUGGUUUUUGGAUGUGUUGGUGAGAAGGGAAGAAGGAUUAGAAAAUUGAUUUCUGUAGUACAUAAGAGGUUAAAGUUUCAUGAUAACAGUGAUGAACUUCGUGCCGAGAAAGUGAGAAAAUUGAUUUAACUGUAUAAUGAAGAGAGGAGUUGAAUCUGCUUCAACUUGUAUUGCUCCACCUCAAUCAAGGCAAAGAAUAGAUCUCAAUGGAUCUCAUGGCCCCACUACAAGAAAAACUGGAUUAAGCAACCAGGCAGUUUUGGUUGCAAAAGCACAUAUUGAGUCGCACUAACCCUUAGAGCGACUUAAUUUGGCUCUCACUCUUGAGUUGCAAAAGGUGAGAUCUCUAUAGGUCUAGAGCAGCUAAGCACUCGCUCUAAGAAUGUUUCAACUACCAUCAGCGAUUAACUAAUAUUCUUGCUGUCAGUUUAUUCCAAUUAUCGUUGAUCAAGUCGCUCUAAAUAUGCUUCAACUGCCAUGAGCGGCCAACCAAUAUCAUUGCUCUAAAUUUAUUUCAACCAUCUUAGCGAGUAAUAUGUUACGUUGACAAAGGUUUAGAGCAACUUAACUGACUAAUAAUAAGUUUCUCAAGGGUAUUGGAUGUACAAGAUUUUAGUCGGUACAAACUUUCAACU